rnacentral:rRNA from 1 species
CCUACGGGGGGCAGCAGUGGGGAAUAUUGGACAAUGGGGGCAACCCUGAUCCAGCCAUGCCGCGUGUGUGAAGAAGGCCCUCGGGUUGUAAAGCACUUUCAGUGAGGAAGAACGCCUGGUGGUUAAUACCCAUCAGGAAAGACAUCACUCACAGAAGAAGCACCGGCUAACUCCGUGCCAGCAGCCGCGGUAAUACGGAGGGUGCGAGCGUUAAUCGGAAUUACUGGGCGUAAAGCGCGCGUAGGUGGCUUGAUAAGCCGGUUGUGAAAGCCCCGGGCUCAACCUGGGAACGGCAUCCGGAACUGUCAAGCUAGAGUGCAGGAGAGGAAGGUAGAAUUCCCGGUGUAGCGGUGAAAUGCGUAGAGAUCGGGAGGAGUACCAGUGGCGAAGGCGGCCUUCUGGACUGACACUGACACUGAGGUGCGAAAGCGUGGGUAGCAAACAGGAUUAGAUACCCGAGUAGUC